UACGUAGGGUGCAAGCGUUGUCCGGAAUUAUUGGGCGUAAAGAGCUCGUAGGCGGUCUGUCACGUCGGACGUGAAAAUCCAGGGCUCAACCCUGGACCUGCGUUCGGAUACGGGCAGACUAGAGUUCGGUAGGGGAGACUGGAAUUCCUGGUGUAGCGGUGAAAUGCGCAGAUAUCAGGAGGAACACCGGUGGCGAAGGCGGGUCUCUGGGCCGAAACUGACGCUGAGGAGCGAAAGCGUGGGGAGCAAACAGG
rnacentral:rRNA from 1 species